rnacentral:lncRNA from 1 species
CGAAAUGAACGUCAUAAUUUUCAUUGAAAAAGAAUAGGGCGAAUAUAUAGAAAAGACGGCGAGAGAUGUAACAGAAAAUAUCAAGUUGUGUUACACGUCACGUGUUUAAGGAACAUGGCGAAACAUUCUGUUUUGUAAAAGUAAUCCUAGUUUUCGGGAGCGGUUGCCUAGAGGAUAAGGCGUCGAGGUCGUGUAUUCGAGCCCCACUGGGGUCACGACCAUGACUUCUCAUAUGACACCAGUACUGGUUUUUCCAGAAAGCGGACUCAAGAGUGGUUCAAAUAAGCUUGAAGCUUUCAUGACAAUCGAAUUAAAACAAAUUAGUAUAAACUGAUCUUACACCAGCGACUACA